UUCUCUCUUGUCCAAUUCCCCAAGGGACAACACGGUUAGAGUGAGGGAGCUCCUACAAGCUAGAAAAGCUGCAGACACUUAGAUGACCUCAGAUACGUCGAACUAAGCGUCCUCGCUGGAUGACUGCGUGAAAGCCUAUGCCCACUGUGACUGGUGUUAGGCGAUGGUGUUGCGA